AAUGGAGCGGCCCACAAUUUCGUGGAGAUGGUCUUGCGCGCUCGUCAUCAACAGCACUAGGUCCAGUGGGCCAAUCAGGCUGAAUGGCAUCAUCCAGCUGUGACUGGGGUGUAGGAGUCGCCACCUGCUGUUGCGCCGACUCGAGCUAGUACUCGCAUGAGCUCGCUGGAAUUGCUUUGUGCAUCCACAAAGUCCGAAAGAACAAGCUGGAAAGGGGUCUGGGAUCGUGCAACGGCGAGGAAAUUGUAUAAGCACAGAACUGUGUCACACCCUGUACGAUACAGGAGCGUACCUCGUUUCUUACUGGUACCAUAUGACCCAUGACUGAGAUGAGCGCCAAGCUUCGAAAUAAGGCUGGACAGUAGCCACCGGUUGUUGCAGUCGAUGGAUGGUGAAGAAAUCAGCAGCCGUUGCCAGAAGAAGAGAACGGUUCUCGAGGAAUGCAAGACAGACGAAUCUUGCUGUUGCCAGCAAUGCGGACUCCUCGGGUGAGGU